UACGUAGGGAGCAAGCGUUGUCCGGAAUCAUUGGGCGUAAAGCGCGCGUAGGUGGCCACAUAAGUCCGUUGUGAAAGUCAAAGGCUCAACCUUUGAAAGCCGAUGGAUACUGUGUGGCUAGAGUACGGAAGAGGCGAGUGGAAUUCCUGGUGUAGCGGUGGAAUGCGCAGAUAUCAGGAGGAACACCAAUGGCGAAGGCAGCUCGCUGGGACGGUACUGACGCUGAGGCGCGAAAGCGUGGGGAGCAAACAGG
rnacentral:rRNA from 1 species